UAAGAUUCUUGCUCCCCAAUUAUUGCUGUGUUGUUCACAGCUACUCACCGUAACAGAAGGUAACAAUGGUGAUGGUCCAUGGAAACAACUCUUAAAAUCGUUACCUAAAAAUUCUAGUGUACCAAAGUAGCCUAAAGGGGACAAUUCUCAAGCAUUGCAAUACAAGGCCAUGCAUGAGUCUGUAUUAGUAUUCCACUAGCCACAAGUCCAGCUAAUGAGAUUCCUGGUUUCCCUUCCAACAGCCACUCGUUUCUGCAUGUUCGUCACAGAUUACCCUCCGUUGCACUUUGCUGAUUCAGUGUUUGGAUGGUGUACUCUGUACCAGACCUUGUGUCAGUUUUGAAAUCAAAACCAACAAAAACCGAACCUUGCUUCUACUUUUUCCUCAGUUACUAUUUUUAAACCAGAAAGUGUCACAGUUCUGCUUUGGGACACAACCGAAAUAGAGCACUGGUUCAGAAGAAAAGAAUAAAGGGGCCAAGAAUCAGCAGGAAUGAGAAUUUCUUCAGUCUGUUCUAACAGGACACAGAACCACAGGCUAACCCUAUGCGGAGGAAAAAGAAAAGAAACCCUUGUUUGAAGAACACGCAAGUUAACUCAAGAGCUGUUGUUCCCUUCCCCUCAAUCGAGUGACUGUAUCAUCAAAGGGCUUUUUGCAUCCAUAGCAUCCAACAAACUAGCUUGAAACUCUCAGGAAUUUAGAUAGUAUCCUCUCCUUGGAUUUUGAAUGGGGCCUGCUGGACGUGAUACUAAGCUUUGUUCCCGGAACAAACAAAAAGCAAGCCCUGUGCCUGUGUCCAUAUUGCCUCCCUCUGUCACCAGGGACAACACUGCUGCGUAAAAACAACUUCAACCCUUGCAGUACCUCCAGUGAUCCUCCCACUACCAAACCAAGCCAUGCCUUAAAUCCUUUUCCAUAAUACGUUCUAUUUUCUCUCAUUGCCUUUAUGAUUCCCCACAACAGCUUUCUCCCACAGUCCCCAGCUACCUUUGUUUGCCCUCCUGGAUGAGCAAGAAAUAGGUGAAGCCUUGACAGGCAGGAACCUACGUUUGCACUGGUAACACACAGGUAUGUGUGUGCUGCUAGGCCAUGAGAUACGCCUGCGCUACCAGGCUGCCUAAACUGAGUGUAUGAGAGCAGAGCCUUCCCUGCCUUCUACUCCCUGACUGCUGAACUCCUGAAAUGUGGGAAUUUAAGCUCUUCACAUCUCUACCUUUCUUUUAAGUUUAGUGGAAAUCAGCUGAUAGGGUGGACAGAAAUAUAAGGAGGGAACAGAGAAACAUUGUGAUUAUCUAAACCUUAUUUUCUUAGUAUAACAAGUUAAAAAUGGGUCUGAAACCCCGUCUACAGUUUUGGCUAUUCUUUAACACUUAAAAUUAGAAUGGGUGACUCUGACCAUAGAAUAGCUUUUCCAUCUCUUCUGCGUACUUGUAUGGUCUCCAUCACCAUAGUGGUAGGAUCCUCACAUCCUUCAAUGAGUGUGAUUCCCCGUCUCACUCCAAUGAAGAUGAACAGUACUGUCACCCCAAUUUUAAAUGUAGGGGUUGGGCCAGAGAGACACUAAGGCCUUAGCGUAGAAAUUAAGGUCUAAGCAAAGGGGCAUAUGCAUUGCAGCCCACGGCGCUACAGCACUUCAUUGUGUGCAAAACCUCAAAAACCUGUCUUGUGCUGCGGUUCCCCUCAGUAACCACCGUCUCAAAAAGAACAUCACUUUCUGCUGUGCCAAAUUCACGCUGAAGAGCAAAUGCAGAGCAAAACUGUGAAGGUAACCAGGAGCUUGUUACUAGAAAAGAGCAUGUGAAUCAUCAAGGCCAUGAUCCCUCAGUCAGAGACAAUCAUGCAUAGAAACAUAGAAUCAUCGAAUCAUUAAGGUUGGAAAAGACCACUAGGAUCGUCAAGUCCAACCGUCAACCCAACACUAUCUUGUCUCCUAAACCACACCCUGAAGUGCCAUGUCUACAUGUCUUUUAAAUACCCCCAGGGAUGGCGACUCCCCCACCUCUCUGGGCAGCCUGCGCCAGUGCCUGACCGCUCUUGCAGCAAAGAAAUUUUCCCUAACAUCCAGUCUAAACCUCCCCUGAUGCAGCUUGAGCCCAUUUCCUCUCAUCCUAUCGCUUGUUACUUGGGAAAAGAGACCAACACCCACCUCUCCACAACCUUCUUUCAGGCAGUUGUGGGGAGACAACAGAUGCUCAUCCAGAAGGGUCCACAAAAUUGCUACUCCCUACCUUUCACAGACAUUUCCCACCAUCACAGAAUGAGGUUUAGACCUGAAGUAAAAGAUUGAGGAACACUAAUAAUUACGAUUAGAAAAAGGAUAGAAAAGAUGAAGUAUAAUACCAGUGAUUUAUACCUUUGCUAAGCACUAUAUUUGUUAGAUGACUCAAGUAAGUGUGUGUUGCACACUACAUGAUAAAAAAAAAAUCUAAAAACCUCAAUGAUCUCUGCCAGUCUGACCUGAGAGAAAAUUCCUUCUUUCCUGACCCCAAAUCAGGCAAUCAGCCUGACUCUGGGUGUGUGAGCCAGACUCAUCAACCAGGCAUUUGUAAGAGUUUAAUACCACUUGCCAAAUCCACCCUCAAGCUGUGGCCAACCUCCAGUGCUUCAGAGAAAGAUAGAAAAGGGGGUUUAGAAGCACAAUGCAAAAAGAAAUUCUGGGCUUUCCAUAGAGCUUAGUUGUGAUGAACUACAGAGAAAAAAAAGUAAACCACAGAAUUCACAUUGUACAGCCUGAGGAUGACAACAUUUCCACUCCAUUCCAUCUUCAGGAAAAGAAAGAAAGGACCAGAGCUUUUAGUCAAACUGUUGUCAGAAAGAUGUGAUGAGAUUUUCAUUUGGAGAGGAGGGGAAUUUCUUUUAUAAGAGUUAAAACCCCCUCAAAAUUAGCAAAACAGCAACAUUUAAUACUUAUGGUUUCAAAAUAGUCAGAACAGCCCAAAUGAAAAAGUAAUAAUAACCAAAUAAUGUGGUUUUCAGUGAGUUUUGAAUAUCCCUGAGGAAAAAAAGUAGUCAAAUUAUAUAGAUAUCAAAAUGGAAAACUCCUUUCAGUCUCUACAGUUAGCUAGUGAGAAUCCAUACGCUGUGGUGUUUGUAAAAAAUAAACAUGAAAUGAAGCAGAGCUCAAGCAGCUUUUCAAAUCCAUUGGGGAGAGCUGUAAAUCAAAUGCUCAUGACUUAAAACACCAGGUGAAAUAUCUACCUCAAGAUUCCCUCCUAAGCUAUGAUCUCUUCCAUACACUUCUUGAGCUCAUUUCAUUUUAGCUAUUCUUUAGCUUCAGAGCUUCACAAUGGAGAACAACCCCCACUUUUUAACAGCAUCCAGCUAGGAAAAGAAGUUAAGAGAAAAGGCACACAUAUAGUUUAUGAGAGUAGGUUCAAAGGCCAUUCUCAGCUAUCACAGAAUGCAUCUAUGUACCUUGAAGCUGAUGGGACUACUUCUCAGUGAUACUGCUGUCAGAAGGAACAGAAUCUGUCCCAUCGACUUGCAAAUGUAUGAUCAUUCUGUACGGUCCUUUACAAUUAAAGUUUUGCCAAGAGCUGAUCGGGCUUGAUUUACUCAAACUGAUGCAUUUAAUCUCAAAAACUGGGUAUUCAAAGCAGAAAUCUGCACUCACUUCUGGGAAAUUAUAUGGCCCACCUAAAACAGGAAUUGCUCUCUUAAAGCCUGUAGCUCACCAGAGGAACCCUUUAGCAGCUGAGUUCCUAGUUAACUAGGAAUCCCGCCCUCUGUCUUUUGGGGGACUCCUUUUUUUUUAACCUGUUUAUUUGUCAGUAAGGCACAAUGUACUGGAGAAGGCAAAGGCAGACAAGUGGAGUGUUACCGAACGCAUGCUAACUCCCCAGGAAUCGAUUUCAAUUGCUUCAGUUCACAUAUUUUUCUGAGCACGAUGUGGACAUCCAUGUCAUAAACCGGCCACAACUACCCUGCCCUCUGUGACAGGAUCGGCACGAACGUCAGCUCAGCACAGGAGACAGACCAGCUGAGGCCCAUGUUUCCUCACGAGCAAUAUGCCUCUUUCUUCUGGGUUUGCUUAUCUUGUAUCGUGUAUUUGUCGCCUGGCUUUUAUCCUACCUGCAUAUAUAUUAGGGUCAGUUGUUAAUCGAUAUAAGAAUACUGAUUAUGGCUGAUAUUGAUUUAAUCAGUGUUUGGUAACUUCACGAAUUCGGUCGUUAUAUAUACAGCAGCGCAAUGAUGAACUGACCAGUUAUUCUGGAGGAAAGGCAACAGAAAGUGGGAGGCUGUUUCAGCCUGCAUGGAAAGGUAGCACAAAAGUCGUGAGUGGGUGAAGGAAACCAAAGCUUGGGUGGAGCAAAAAGAAAGGGGUAGGGUGUGAAUUGAGAUGCUGGUGAAGCUGCAGGCGAGGGUGACACAUUCGGUACAGUUAUUACAAUGCUUUUAAUUAUCUCUCAUGCCUAAAAUUCCAUUAGCACCAUGCUGCCAUGGGUGGAGGCUGAUGGGUGGGAGGGGACAUCGGUCCCCUCCUACCCUUAUGCAAUUCAAACCACAGUGAUAACUGGUAAAUCCCUGGAGAUAAGGCCCUUUCUCUUAGUCAUUCCUCCUAAAUAUAAGUUGAUCUUUCUCUAGGUGUUCUACAUUUCCUGUGCCCAGAUGAAUGUUAUUCAUCUGUUGAAGCUGAAUUAUAAUAGACAUACAGGUUUUUGCAGUUAUUAAGAUCACUGAGGCCAGUCUUUCUUGUCCAUACUACACUCACCGAGGGUGUGUGGCCUAAUGAAUAGGUGGAGCAGUUUAGAGGUAAAAUAGAAACACAGGCCAUUUUUUCCUUUUCCUCACUGACAAAAUUCCAAACUGCCAGGAAAAGAUGCUUUUCCAGUAAUUUCAUCAGCCCUGUUUCUGAUUGGCACAGGCACUCCCAAAGCACAGUGACCAAUCCCAGACUGUGGCAGGAUCAUGAACAAAGAGAACUUAGUUUAAAAAAAAACUCAAAUAACCUACAGCAUUUUUACAGGCACUGCAAUAAAGUAGACUGUGGUCACGUAAGGUCAACAUGUUUUACAGAUUCCUAUUUGGGGAACAAGAGCUAGAAUAGAAUUUGUAAACUUCACUUAUAAUUUAUUCUUUCCUUUAUGAGAAUGAUGCACUGUGCUGAUGGAAUCAGCUGCCUCAGAUCUCUUGUAGUUACCUGACUUUUAGGAGCUGGACAGAGCAUGGACUCUACGGCAGCAGAUCUCAGCUGCCAUCCUCAUUGCCUGUGAAAUGGCUCGUGAAAACAAGAUGUCCUCUUCUCGUGAUGAAGGAUAUUUGUUCACCACCGCUGUUUUUCACCACUUUUUCUGCAAAAAAUUCAGAGAAUGCUCUAUUUCUCUCUGCAGUGACAACCACGAUAGGUCUGGUCUGCCCCAAUAUUUUGGAAAUAAUCCUACACCUUUUCUUUCACACCCUUUCUCACAAAUGUUCUACAAGCGUUUUCCGAAGGGAGGGCAGGACACUUUGCCUGUCUUUUUGCAGUUCUGAACCCGGGUCUAGAGGUACCAUCACACCUGUGUAUGCAAAAUGAACUAAUGAAAACUGUAAGUCUUAAAUUCCUGAGGGAGAUUUCUUAGAUAAGCUGUGGAAAAUGCUAGAUUUUGGCAGAUUAAUCAAACCUCUCCAGCAAAAAGGAGUGACCGUAAUGAAGAAUCUCUUGACUAUACAGUAACUGUACGGUAGCAGAAUCAAUCAUAAAUAAUCAAAUGUUAUAUUGCAACAAUUAAAGGUGAGGUGCACUAACUACUCCAUGAAGUGCUAAACUGGGGAUGCUAAUGUAGUAUGUUGCAAUCAUAUUGUCACAGGAAGAACUAUCUGCUAUCUUUAUUGCCCGUGAUACGAAGUUUUGAUUGCUCCCAGAACCUGAUCAGAUAGUAUUUAAUGAACAAUUAUAAACUAAGAAAACAAAAUUUUAAACACCAAACGAUGUGUUGCGUUUUAU